rnacentral:lncRNA from 1 species
AUGCACAAUGCUGUUUUACCUGCAGUUCAUUUAUGCUUUUGACAACCGUCGAAGUUUUAUUAUGUUAUAAAAACGAUACAAUCGAGUCACUAAACCACAUGUGUGUCAAACUUUAGGCCAAAUCCAGCCCGCAUGAGAAAAUAAAAUAACAGAAUAGGUUAGAUUAUCAAAUAAUUCAGUUUAUGAAAUCUCAGUGCCUCCAAACACAAAUAUUCACAAUAUUUACAGGGCUUACAGUUUUUCCAUGUAUAUAUCAAAUGAUGGCAGCCAUUUUUUUUUUUACUCAAAUUGUUAAAAUAACUAAUUUCUACAAUGCUGCAAUUUUCUUUCAUUUAUUCCACAAAAUUUCUCCCAAUUAAAUAAGAAUUGGUUGUCCCGCCUAUAAUCUGCAGCUCACUUGAGAUCAAACUCUGUGUGCUAUUGGGCCCCUGAGCUAGAAUGAGUUUGACACCCCUGCUCUACACAGUUUGCAAAUGUCGAUCAAUAUCAGAAAAUUUUAACACAGGUGUGUUUUCUAAGAUGUAUGAACAAUACGACCCCCAUGAUAUGACUGAAAGAAGUGUUUCUCUUUAAAAAGAAAAAAAAAUACUGUCAAACUUUUAUUAUAAAACAAUAAUUUUCAAUUUUAGUAAAUUUUAAAAAAAACUUCAUAAUGUGAGCACAUUAGGAGUCUUUGUGCUCAUACUUGACAGGCUCUAUACAAACCAAAACAGUCUCCAUGCUUUCUUUAAAUUCCACUUAUUUUAAACUCCCAAAUUUUCCUCUAAACAUCUAAAUUGCUUUGGAAAUAUUUGAUUUGAUCUAAAUUAAAUGAAGUUUUGAUGCUUUUAUUUGUGGAAAUGGCCGUCUGUUUUUCAAAUAUAUAUAUACAAAUACUGUAUAUUUCUUCAAUACAAGUCUUUGGUUGCUGUGUGUGCAGCACUGGUGGCAGUAUGCGUCACCUGUCUUGUCCUCGAUGUGGUGUCGUCUGCGAGCAGGAGAAUCUCUGCCGGAGCAGCUUCAGCUCAUCGCUGACUGUCAGCGUUGGGCCUGCAGCUUGGAGGAAGGUCAUCAGCUGCAGACGCCUCCAGCUGGGGCUGCGGCUCUGCUGUUGGCAGCAUGUCUGCGUGGUGUGUGGAGGAGCAGAACGGAGCAGAGCUUCAGCAGAACUCUGAAAUCACUGCAACCAGAGAGAGACGCCAAACACAAAGAGAUGCUUGUUUUUCUGCUUUUCCUGUGUGUGAAUGACUACCUAUCAUCACUGCUGUACCCUCAGGUGACGAGCCAAGAAAAAGUGAUGCAUCUGUGCACGGAGCUGCUCAAAGCGUUGCUGGACUCUGCAGACUGGCUCCACAUCUUUAAUUCUGACGUCUGUGGCGUUUAUAAACCCGUCUCCAUGGUAACCCCUGACCAGUUCACUCGCCUGAUGCCCUGGGCUUUCUGCAGUCUGUUAUCUGAGCAGUGUGUGCAGCUGCAGCAGCAGCGAGCACUGCGCUGUGCAGGGUUCCUCCACACCGCUGUGAGCUGUUACAUCGACGCCCUGCAGCUUUUUCUGGAUGGACAAACACCGCUCACAUCUGCACGCUCAGAGAAACAGGUGAACAUGCUCUGCAUCGGACGAGAGUUUCUGUCUGUUGCUGAUGAGACAUUAAAUCACACGCAGAAACUGUGUCAUCAGACUGAGCCGUCGCACAUGCUGGGCCGAACCAAAGAGUUUAUCCUGAGAGUGAUUUCACAGUCAUCAUCAACUGCUUUGUCCUCCAGUCAGUUCAGACAGCUGGAGUCCCGGUGUACAGAUGUGGACUUGGAGGUGGCGGCUGCGCUAUCGGUGCACUUUGACCCCCCCAGUCUGAGCCCAGAGAUGGACUUUUUGUGAGUAGCUGAACUCAAACAUCAGAGUUUUCUUUUAUGGGCUAAAGAAUAGACAGACUGCACUUUUAUUGUAUAAAAAAAGGUUUUAUUUAUGAGUUUGUACAUGUUUCAAACACUUUAUUGUACAUUUGAAGCCCUUUGUUGCUGACUUGUAUGUUGUGAUAAAUAAAAUAACUGCAUAAAAACUCCA